rnacentral:rRNA from 1 species
AUGGCUCCGAUUUGCCGGUUCUCUCCGGCAGAGAAGGGAAAGGCUCCCCGAGAGGAUCCUGACCCGCUUCCGCCGAAGAAACGGCUAGCCCUUUGCCAUCGGGGUGAGGGCGCCCGCCAGGAAGUGCCGAGGCCCUGGUGCGAGCGACCACCACCAGGGUUCCCGCUUCCCUUGUACGCCCACAUCGAGGGCUCUGAAGGAGUCGAUGCUGAACGCCACGGGUGGCGCCGCCGUCGAUGCCGGCGGGUCACAAAGGUGUGCAUCUUUCCCCCAGGAGUCCAUGCUGAGGGCUCCUCCCGAGAGUUCGUGCUUCACGCCGCCAUGCCUCCUCAGUCUUGGAUUCGCCUUCCUCCUUUCUUCGCCUCCAUCAUCCCGCAGGGGCAACUCCUGGGGCUCUGGCUGCAGCGCGCCGGCUGCAGCACCCUUGCGACCGGGGCAGAGGUCACCGUCAUUGCCCCGGGCGAGGUCUUCAUGACUCGAGGCUGGGGUGAGAUCGCCCAAGUCUGCAGGACAAGGGGCGCCCUCGCGAUCCACCUGGAGUACGACGGUGCUUCGGUGAUGUUCUUCAAGGUCUUUGAUGCGGAGGGUCGCCGGCUGGAGUGCUGCCCCGGGAGAGGUGGUCGGGACCCCGCUACGGCGAGGCAGAGGCCGGCUAACCGCUCCCUUGGCAGCUCCUCAGGCGAUGGAGGCGCCGAAGGAUCCAGCGACUCCGCCGAGCUCUUCACGACUCCAGAGACGAGCGACGACUACUACGAGCCCCCGUGCCUGCGCCGCUUCCGGAGCAGGGCGGGCUCGUAG